rnacentral:rRNA from 1 species
UACGAAGGGGGCUAGCGUUUUUCGGAAUCACUGGGCGUAAAGCGCACGUAGGCGGAUGUGUCAGUCAGGGGUGAAAUCCCGGGGCUCAACCUCGGAACUGCCUCUGAUACAGCACGUCUUGAGUCCGGAAGAGGUGGGUGGAAUUCCUAGUGUAGAGGUGAAAUUCGUAGAUAUUAGGAAGAACACCGGUGGCGAAGGCGACCCACUGGUCCGGUACUGACGCUGAGGUGCGAAAGCGUGGGGAGCAAACAGG